UACUUGAAAAUCAGUAUUACUUUGUUGAAAAAUGGCACAAAAUUAAAUGAGAACUAUAACGGAAAUAGUCAUGACAUGUGCCCGUACUUUUUAAUAAUUAUGUAUCAUUCAUUGGAAACAUGGAUUCAUCGGGAUGUCACGUACACAUCGCAAUUAUAUAUCUUCCUAUGGUAAAACUAUGAUAUUCGUUCCAGUUAGUUAAUAAUGUGUGUGUGUCACAAAAAAGAAUGUGCAGAUCUUUUAACAUCCGAGCGGCAACCAUGUUGAACUUCCUCUAAACUGUCCGCGAGUGAUUUAUUACCUAAAUUUAUAAGUCCAUUUAUUUGAGUUUUUUAUUGAACCUGGGUGGUAAAGUGAUUAGAUCCAAUUUCUAUAGUCAGAUGAUAGACGAGCAGCAAUUUCCUAAUGUUUGCCAAUAGGUUAUCAGAUAAAAUUCAAGAAAACCAAUUAUCUCGGCCAUCAACCGGUAGAAUAGAAGACAUGCAAUAGUUUUAUUGCAAUUUAAUAUUCAAUAAAAUGAAAAAAAUGAUUCAAUAAAAACAAAAGUUCAUAUAAA